rnacentral:sRNA from 1 species
UAUCUCUCCGUACGGGGAAGGAUGAGAAGCUUCGACUAAGGUUCGAUUCGAGCGCAGCGAGAAAACGUUGCCGCAGGCAACGACCCGAAGGGUGAGGA